rnacentral:lncRNA from 1 species
CUGAGUUGCUUGAGUCACAUUUUUGCAUGGUUCUUGAUUGACUUUCUGGUGCUCUGCCUGGAGGUCUUUGCUUAUCUGUGAGUUGCCUGAGUCACAUUUUUACAUGGUUCUGGUGCUCUGCCUGCAGGUCAAGAAGGAGCCAGUAUCUCCAGGAGGAGUGAGAGAGUGCUCUGCCAGUGUGAAGUGUGAAUCCUUGAGAGGCUGUGGCAAGGGUCCAUGCCUGAAUGUGUAGAACAAGAACAGCUGGAGGCUGUGGCUUUCUCCAGGAAGAGGUUUCUAAAUCUGCCUCUUAGAAGAUAUCAGAAAGUUAAAGUUUCUCUUGCUGCCGCCGUGUAAGAAGGACCUUUUGCCUCCCACCAUGAUUCUAAGUCCUCCCCAGCCACGUGGAACUGCUUUCAUUUGGUCUCUUUUCGAAUCAGAAGACCCAGAAAACUUGGAUCCACUUCUGGCUCUCAUCCCUCUGGGCAGUGUGAUUUGGAUUGAGCAGAUGCUCCGGCUGCCACUCCAUCAUAUAUUGGAAACAGCAUUACUUUAUAGUAAAUCAUGACCACGGUGUAUGGCAAUGAAGUUGCAUCUGAAGCAGCCGGCACCCUAUGUGCUAGCUGGCUUUUAGACCAGGAGACUGUGAAUCUGUGGUCAGGAUCUCUUUAGGGCUGCUAAAUAUAUACUACCCACUAUCACUCGCUGGAGCUGCAGACCCUAGUUUUAGAGUUUCACUUCUUAAAGACCUUCAUCCUUAUUAAAAUGGUAAUAUCCUUACUGUCA